GCUGGGCGUGGUGGCUCAUGCCUGUAAUCCCAGCACUUUGGGAGGCAGAGGCGGGUGGAUCACUUGAGGUCAGGAGCUCGAAACCAGCCUGGCCAACAUGGUGAAACCCCGUCUCUA
rnacentral:SRP_RNA from 1 species